UAGGUUUUCUAGAUAAUCGCAUGCAGUCUUUUCUGCAUGAGGAAAGUCCGGGCUCCAUAGGACAUAAUGCCGGGUAACACCCGGGAGCAGUAAUGCUAUAGAUAGCGCAGCAGAAAAUAAACCGCCUAUUUAUAGGUAAGGGUGAAACGGCGAGGUAAGAGCUCACCGCGUGAAUGGUAACAUUUCAUGGCACGGCAAGCCUCAUUAGGAGCAAGCCCAAGCAGUGAGUAGAGUGGUCCGCUUAGUUCUCACGGGUAGGGUGCUAGAGACUUACAGUAAUGUAAGUCGUAGAUAGAUGAUUAUCGUUAUACAGAACCCGGCUUAUUGAAAACCUAUUUU
rnacentral:RNase_P_RNA from 1 species